GAUGAAGAACGUAGCGAAAUGCGAUAAGUAAUGUGAAUUGCAGAUUUCCAGUGAAUCAUCGAAUCUUUGAACGCACAUUGCGCCCUCUGGUAUUCCGGAGGGCAUGCCUGUCCGAGCGUCAUUGCUGCCCUCAAGCACGGCUUGUGUGUUGGGCUCCGUCCCCCGAUCCCGGGGGACGGGCCCGAAAGGCAGCGGCGGCACCGCGUCCGGUCCUCGAGCGUAUGGGGCUUUGUCACCCGCUCUGUAGGCCCGGCCGGCGCUUGCCGAUCAACCAAAUUUUUAUCCAGGUUGACCUCGGAUCAGGUAGGGAUACCCGCUGAACUUAAGCAUAUCAAUAAGCGGAGGA
rnacentral:misc_RNA from 1 species